rnacentral:rRNA from 1 species
GACGAACGCUGGCGGCGUGCCUAAUACAUGCAAGUGGGACGCAAGAGAACACACUGUGCUUGCACACCGUGUUUUCUUGAGUCGCGAACGGGUGAGUAACGCGUAGGUAACCUGCCUAUUAGCGGGGGAUAACUAUUGGAAACGAUAGCUAAUACCGCAUAAUAUUAAUUAUUGCAUGAUAAUUGAUUGAAAGAUGCAAGCGCAUCACUAGUAGAUGGACCUGCGUUGUAUUAGCUAGUUGGUAAGGUAAGAGCUUACCAAGGCGACGAUACAUAGCCGACCUGAGAGGGUGAUCGGCCACACUGGGACUGAGACACGGCCCAGACUCCUACGGGAGGCAGCAGUAGGGAAUCUUCGGCAAUGGACGAAAGUCUGACCGAGCAACGCCGCGUGAGUGAAGAAGGUUUUCGGAUCGUAAAGCUCUGUUGUAAGUCAAGAACGUGUGUGAGAGUGGAAAGUUCACACAGGAC